AAUGGGUCAGCGACUUAUAUUCUGUAGCAAGGUUAACCGAAUAGGGGAGCCGAAGGGAAACCGAGUCUUAACUGGGCGUUAAGUUGCAGGGUAUAGACCCGAAACCCGGUGAUCUAGCCAUGGGCAGGUUGAAGGUUGGGUAACACUAACUGGAGGACCGAACCGACUAAUGUUGAAAAAUUAGCGGAUGACUUGUGGCUGGGGGUGAAAGGCCAAUCAAACCGGGAGAUAGCUGGUUCUCCCCGAAAGCUAUUUAGGUAGCGCCUCGUGAAUUCAUCUCCGGGGGUAGAGCACUGUUUCGGCAAGGGGGUCAUCCCGACUUACCAACCCGAUGCAAACUGCGAAUACCGGAGAAUGUUAUCACGGGAGACACACGGCGGGUGCUAACGUCCGUCGUGAAGAGGGAAACAACCCAGACCGCCAGCUAAGGUCCCAAAGUCAUGGUUAAGUGGGAAACGAUGUGGGAAGGCCCAGACAGCCAGGAUGUUGGCUUAGAAGCAGCCAUCAUUUAAAGAAAGCGUAAUAGCUCACUGGUCGAGUCGGCCUGCGCGGAAGAUGUAACGGGGCUAAACCAUGCACCGAAGCUGCGGCAGCGACGCUGAUGCGUUGUUGGGUAGGGGAGCGUUCUGUAAGCCUGCGAAGGUGUACUGUGAGGU
rnacentral:rRNA from 1 species